rnacentral:rRNA from 1 species
AUGUGCAGGUACGAUGUGGCUUUGAAUUCAAAUGCCUUAGGAGCCAAAAAUGUAUGCGAGUUUGGAAAGAAGUGUUGUAAUAUGAAACUCUUACUUCAUGUUUCAACAGCUUUUGUAGCUGGUACCCAAGAAGGGUUGCUGCUUGAGAGAGCUUUCCAUAAUGGUGAAACACUAAGAGAAGGUUACUACUUGGACAUUGAAGAAGAAUUACAAUUGGUUAGGAAUGUGAAGACAGAACUCAUGGAAGCCUUGAGUGAUAGUUCAGAAAAAUUAGAGAAAUCUAAAAUGAAGGAACUUGGCUUAAAGAGGUAUGCCAUUUUUUCUUUAUUACUAGAAUAUUGUAAGUUAUUUUGA